AUUUAAAUAACUUAAUAGAUAGAGUGUUAUAUUGAAGAUAUAAAAGUGAUUAAUUUAAAUCUUUAAAUA
rnacentral:tRNA from 1 species